UCCCAGGUCUCAAAUGUUCAUGCUACUGAG
rnacentral:piRNA from 1 species